AGAGUCGUAAUCUCGCUUCGUAAAAUCGCCGUGCUAAUCGUUUAGUGAAAUCGCUAUAAACCGAAACUUUCGAGAAGCGUCGAGAAAAAUCGCCGAGAUUUUCCAUCACCGCGAUUCCAAACUCAAUUUGGAAAAGAUGAUUACUUGUGGAGGAAUUUACAUAGUGAAGAGAAUCCGAACCAAGAAUCGAAACUUUUUAAAAUUCUAUCAAGCUGCCCAAUGAUUACUCC